AUCUGUUCAUGGUUAAAGCCCCGGCGGUCAGAGAUGGGCAUGCGUGACAUUAGCUUGUUGGUGAGGUAACAGCUCACCAAGGCUACGAUGUCUAGGGGGUCUGAGAGGAUGGUCCCCCACACUGGUACUGAGACACGGACCAGACUCCUACGGGAGGCAGCAGUGAGGAAUAUUGGUCAAUGGGCGAAAGCCUGAACCAGCCAUGCCGCGUGAAGGAUGACAGCCCUAUGGGUUGUAAACUUCUUUUGUACGGGAAGAAACGCUUCUACGUGUAGAGGUUUGACGGUACCGUACGAAUAAGCAUCGGCUAAACUCCGUGCCAGCAGCCGCGGUAAUACGGAGGAUGCAAGCGUUAUCCGGAUUUAUUGGGUUUAAAGGGUACGUAGGCGGGAGCUUAAGUCAGUGGUGAAAUCCUGCAGCUUAACUGUAGAACUGUCAUUGAUACUGGGCUUUCUUGAAUGUAGUUGAGGUAGGCGGAAUGUGUAAUGUAGCGGUGAAAUGCUUAGAUAUUACACAGAACACCGAUUGCGAAGGCAGCUUACUAUACUACGAUUGACGCUGAGGUACGAAAGCGUGGGGAGCGAACAGGAUUAGAUACCCUGGUAGUCCACGCUGUAAACGAUGAUCACUCGUUGUUGGCAAUACACCGUCAGCGACUGAGCGAAAGCAUUAAGUGAUCCACCUGGGGAGUACGACCGCAAGGUUGAAACUCAAAGGAAUUGACGGGGGCCCGCACAAGCGGAGGAACAUGUGGUUUAAUUCGAUGAUACGCGAGGAACCUUACCUGGGCUUAAAUGUAGAACGACGGACCGGGAAACUGGUCUUUCUUCGGACGGUCUGCAAGGUGCUGCAUGGCUGUCGUCAGCUCGUGCCGUGAGGUGUCGGGUUAAGUCCCAUAACGAGCGCAACCCUCAUCAUUAGUUGCCAGCGGGUAAUGCCGGGGACUCUAAUGAAACUGCCGGUGUAAACCGAGAGGAAGGUGGGGAUGACGUCAAGUCAGCACGGCCCUUAUGUCCAGGGCUACACACGUGUUAC
rnacentral:rRNA from 1 species